AUGAACGCUAGCGACAGGCCUAACACAUGCAAGUCGAGGGGCGAGCACAAGGAAGCAAUCUGAGGUGGCGACCGGCGCACGGGUGAGUAACACGUAUGCAACCUGCCUGUAAGCGGGGAAUAACCCGUUGAAAGACGGACUAAUACCGCAUAAUACUAAAUUACUGCAUGGUAAUUAUUUAAACAUUUAUGGCUUACAGAUGGGCAUGCGCAUGAUUAGCUAGUUGGAGAGGUAACGGCUCCCCAAGGCAACGAUCAUUAGGGGUUCUGAGAGGAAGGUCCCCCACACUGGUACUGAGACACGGACCAGACUCCUACGGGAGGCAGCAGUGAGGAAUAUUGGUCAAUGGACGAGAGUCUGAACCAGCCAAGUCGCGUGCAGGAAGAAUGUCCUUAAUGGAUUGUAAACUGCUUUUGCAGGGGAAUAAAGUGCAUCACGUGUGAUGUUUUGUAUGUACUCUGCGAAUAAGGAUCGGCUAACUCCGUGCCAGCAGCCGC
rnacentral:rRNA from 1 species